rnacentral:misc_RNA from 1 species
UGUAGGAGUGAGCUUGCUCGCGAUAGCGAUCGCACAUUCAGAAUCUUUAUCGUCUGAUCCACCGCCAUCGCGAGCAAGCUCGCUCCCACA